UGCAUAGGAAUCUACCUAGUAGUAUGGGAUAGCCACUAGAAAUGGUGGGUAAUACUGUAUAAUCCCUGCGGGGGAAAGAUUUAUCGCUAUUAGAUGAGCCUAUGUUAGAUUAGCUAGUUGGUAGGGUAAAGGCCUACCAAGGCGAUGAUCUAUAGCUGGUCUGAGAGGAUGAUCAGCCACACUGGAACUGAGAUACGGUCCAGACUCCUACGGGAGGCAGCAGUGGGGAAUAUUGGACAAUGGGCGCAAGCCUGAUCCAGCUAUGCCGCGUGAGUGAGGAAGGCCUUAGGGUUGUAAAACUCUUUCAGUAGGGAAGAUAAUGACGGUACCUACAGAAGAAGUCCCGGCAAACUCCGUGCCAGCAGCCGCGGUAAUACGGAGGGGGCAAGCGUUGUUCGGAAUUAUUGGGCGUAAAGGGCAUGUAGGCGGUUCGGUAAGUUAAAGGUGAAAUGCCAGGGCUUAACCCUGGAGCUGCUU
rnacentral:rRNA from 1 species